rnacentral:lncRNA from 1 species
CCUCCUCCUCCUCCUGUCGGCGCCUUGUUCGGGCUCCAGCUCCAGCUCCUUCGUCCCCUCCACCACCUUCUCCUCCAACCUCCGGUUCGCUUUCAGUGAGAUCCAGAAGCUCACGUCGCUGAUCUCCGGCUCGUCCGGCGUCCUGGGCGGCAACCUCCGCCUCUCCUCGGCCAUCCAUGACUGCCUAGACCUCCUCGACUUCUCCGCUGACGAGCUCACCUGGACCCUCUCCGUCGUCAAUGACCAGCGCGUGAAGACCCCUGCCACCGGGAACCACCGUUACGACAUCCGCUCCUGGCUCAGCGCCGCUGUCGGCAACCAGGACACCUGCAAGGAAGGCCUCGACAGCGCCGGCGGCCCCCUCGGAGGCCUCGCUGCCGGCGGGCUCAAGAUCGUCAGCUCACUCAUUGCCAACAGCCUCCACGAGGUUGCCGCAUCGUCGGGCGGCGGGGGUGGGGGUCGGAGGCUCCUGGGGUUCCCGGAAUGGGUGUCGGCCGGGGACAGGAGGCUUCUGCAGACGCCGGCACCGGUGGAGCCCGACGCGGUGGUGGCGCAAGACGGGAGCGGGGACUACACGUCGAUAGGGGCCGCGGUGGAGGCGGCGCCGAGUGAGAGCGAGAGCAGGUACGUGAUCUACGUGAAGAAGGGGGUGUACAUGGAGAACGUGGAGGUCAAUAAGAAGAAGUGGAAC